rnacentral:lncRNA from 1 species
ACACACACACACACACACACACAUAAAAGCUCAUACAGAACCAAGAAAACAGAGAGGAUACUCCAUUUCUUCAUAAGAGAUGAGAAACCACAAAACACAUAUGUGCUCACUUCUCAUUGCACUACUAGUCUUUGCAUCGAGUAUACUCUCUCUCUCUCUCUCUCUCUCUCUCUCUCUCUCUCUCUCUCUCCUUAGACUAUUUAUCUUUGUCUCUUUGGAUCUAUGAUUAUGUUCAUCCAAAUGAUUUUUCUACAUAACUUUUCUUUACAUCAUUUGCAUAUAUAUGUAGCUUGGAAGCCCACCAUGCAGCUUCAAUUUUGUUGGCACCCUCCAAAGAAGUUCAGCAUAUGCUUAGCCUUUUGGAGGGUAGAAAUAUGCAACAAGCUAUGCAUUGCCGAGAACUACGAGUAUGGUGUUUGUGGCAUGAUGGAGUACCCACUGCCGCGAUGCAUCUGCCACAAGCGUCAUUGUCAUGACACUUAACUAUGAUGAGUGAUGUAUUUAGCGUGUUUAUGUGAGAAUAAAGGGAUGGUGGUGUUUUUCAUCAUUAUGAAAUAUAAGUAUUUAAUAAAGUGAGCCCGAGUUCUUUCCAGCAUUGACCAAAAGACUUCUAACGAACAUGUUUGAAUGUAUGUG